GAUGAACGCUAGCUAUAGGCUUAACACAUGCAAGUCGAGGGGAAACGAUAGAGAAAGCUUGCUUUUUCUAGGCGUCGACCGGCGCACGGGUGAGUAACGCGUAUCCAACCUGCCCACCACUUGGGGAUAACCUUGCGAAAGUAAGACUAAUACCCAAUGAUAUCUCUAGAAGACAUCUGAAAGAGAUUAAAGAUUUAUCGGUGAUGGAUGGGGAUGCGUCUGAUUAGCUUGUUGGCGGGGUAACGGCCCACCAAGGUGCGGAUCAGUAGGGGUUCUGGGAGGAAGAUCCCCCACAUUGGAACUGAGACACGGUCCAAACUCCUACGGGAGGCAGCAGUGAGGAAUAUUGGUCAAUGGGCUAGAGCCUGAACCAGCCAAGUAGCGUGCAGGAUGACGGCCCUAUGGGUUGUAAACUGCUUUUAUAAGGGAAUAAAGUGAGUCUCGUGAGACUUUUUGCAUGUACCUUAUGAAUAAGGACCGGCUAAUUCCGUGCCAGCCGCCGCGGUAA
rnacentral:rRNA from 1 species